AAACCAGCUGGAGGACUAGCUAGCUCAGCUAGGUGAGCUGACCGGCAGCUCAACCGAGCUCGGUGAACUGAUCGAGUACUGACCCAGCUGGGUGGUCUGGUCAGCUGACACUCGAGCUGGUGGACUGUCGUAGCUCGGGGAUGAAGAGGUGUCUCGGCCAAAAGGUGUAAGGUCGAGCGGUUACCGACGAAUGGUUACCGUUGGCGAAAGGGUGGAUAAGGCCGAACGGUUACGAUCGGAGAGACGCAACCCUUCAGAAAAGUGUAUGGAACGGAUGCGAUGCUUUGGAAAAGCAACCAUUCGCCCCCUAUAUAAGGGAGGACGUCCACACCAUCUCAGAAGGCCCACAACAAUCCAAAACAAGUCCCAAAACACUCUACGAAGUGUUGGUCGGAAAGGGGGUGCGGCUCGGCGAGUAUCUCCGGAAUCGGAAUGGAUUCUCGGAGUCUCGACCGAACUAAUGCGCAUGCUACCUCCCGAUCCAAUGCUUCGAUGGAAUGUAGAGGACGGAUGGAUGGGUCGGAUUGGAUGGGUCCAACCGAUCGUCUUGGAGACAAAUCGGAUUGGAUAGACCGAUCGUCGGACGGAUCGGAUCGGACAGACCGAUCGUCGGAUGGAUGGAUCAGAUCGGAUAGACCGAUCGUCGUACGGAUCGGAUCGGACAGACCGAUCGUUGGACGGAAGGAUCGGAUCGGAGAAGAAGACGGAUUCGGAUAGACCGUCGCACAGACGGAUCGACCGACCGGGAUAGGCGGAUCGAUCGUCGUGUCAACAGGUCGGGUUGACGUAUAACCGGAUCUGUUUACGAUCGGAUAAACGGACCAAGGCAUAGAUCGGCGGAUUGACCGGUCGUAUAGAUCGGCGGGAUGACCGACAAUACGUAUCGGAGAUCUGAUCGAGGGAACAUGGUGGAUUACUCGAUCGAGGAUUCGAUGAGAACCGCUGGAGGGUUCGACGACUUGAUUGAUGGUUCGGAUCGAUAGCUCGAUUAUGGGGUCGAUGGAUCGUCCGCUCUAUAAGUCAUAUCGUCGAGGGAAGGACACAAAAAGGAAAUGGAUCGGCAAAUCUAAGAUUGUCAAUAUGGAAGUAUCGACGGAUCUAACGAUAGACCGAUAGAUGAUAUGGUUAACGGGAAGUUAAUCGGGAAGGCGUAUAAGGGAAAGGUGUUCGAAGAAGCACGAGGAUAAGUGCAACCGAACACACCCAAGGGUCGCCCAUGGAUGCAAUCUCACCG